GCCAGAUAGCUCACUCGGUAAAGCAUUGCGCUGCGAAGCAGAAGUGAUUAUCGCGUUGCGGGUUCGAGCCCUGCUUCGCA